rnacentral:rRNA from 1 species
GAGUUUGAUCAUGGCUCAGGACGAACGCUGGCGGCGUGCUUAACACAUGCAAGUCGAGCGAUGAAGCUUCCUUCGGGAAGUGGAUUAGCGGCGGACGGGUGAGUAACACGUGGGCAACCUGCCUCAAAGAGGGGAAUAGCCCUCCGAAAGGAGGAUUAAUACCGCAUAAAGUUAGAGUUUCGCAUGAAACUUUAACCAAAGGAGUAAUCUGCUUUGAGAUGGGCCCGCGUCCCAUUAGCUAGUUGGUAAGGUAAUGGCUUACCAAGGCAACGAUGGGUAGCCGACCUGAGAGGGUGAUCGGCCACAUUGGAACUGAGACACGGUCCAGACUCCUACGGGAGGCAGCAGUGGGGAAUAUUGCGCAAUGGGGGAAACCCUGACGCAGCAACGCCGCGUGGGUGAUGAAGGUUUUCGGAUCGUAAAACCCUGUUUUCUGGGACGAUAAUGACGGUACCAGAUGAGGAAGCCACGGCUAACUACGUGCCAGCAGCCGCGGUAAUAC